UACAGAGGUCUCAAGCGUUGCUCGGAUUCAUUGGGCGUAAAGGGUGUGUAGGUGGCGCGCUAAGUCGGGUGUGAAAUUUCGGAGCUUAACUCCGAAACUGCAUUCGAUACUGGCGUGCUUGAGGACUGGAGAGGAGACUGGAAUUCAUGGUGUAGCAGUGAAAUGCGUAGAGAUCAUGAGGAAGACCAGUGGCGAAGGCGGGUCUCUGGACAGUUCCUGACACUGAGACACGAAGGCCAGGGGAGCAAACGGG
rnacentral:rRNA from 1 species